UACGAAGGGAGCUAGCGUUGUUCGGAAUCACUGGGCGUAAAGCGCACGUAGGCGGAUGUGUCAGUCAGGGGUGAAAUCCCGGAGCUCAACUUCGGAACUGCCUUUGAUACAGCACGUCUUGAGUCCGAUAGAGGUGGGUGGAAUUCCUAGUGUAGAGGUGAAAUUCGUAGAUAUUAGGAAGAACACCGGUGGCGAAAGCGGCUUCCUGGACCAGCACCGACGUUCAGGCACGAAAGCGUGGGGAGCAAACAGG
rnacentral:rRNA from 1 species